rnacentral:rRNA from 1 species
GAUGAACGCUGGCGGCGUGCCUAAUACAUGCAAGUCGAGCGAACGGACGAGAAGCUUGCUUCUCUGAUGUUAGCGGCGGACGGGUGAGUAACACGUGGAUAACCUACCUAUAAGACUGGGAUAACUUCGGGAAACCGUAGCUAAUACCGGAUAAUAUUUUGAACCGCAUGGUUCAAAAGUGAAAGACGGUCUUGCUGUCACUUAUAGAUGGAUCCGCGCUGCAUUAGCUAGUUGGUAAGGUAACGGCUUACCAAGGCAACGAUGCAUAGCCGACCUGAGAGGGUGAUCGGCCAAACGGGAACUGAGACACGGUCCAGACUCCUACGGGAGGCAGCAGUAGGGAAUCUUCCGAAAUGGGCGAAAGCCUGACGGAGCCACGCCGCGUGGGUGAUGAAGGUCUUCGGAUCGUAAAACUCUGUUAUUAGGGAGGAACAUAUGUGUAAGUAACUGUGCACAUCGUGACGGUACCUAAUCAGAAAGCCACGGCUAACUACGUG